GUGCGCAGCCUUCCCACUGAGGCAGAACAAAGUAGCAUAAUAACUUAGACACUGAGCUGACCCUCUCUGCCGCUCUCAAGUACACUUAAUGGAGGUGUGUGUGUGUGUGUGUAGCUGAUCCACUCCAGGGGUGAAUUGUUAUGGAUGCAGUUCUGUUGAAAUUACUGUUAUUUGUUUCCUUUAAAACAAGCUAAUUGCAGCAUAGAGGAUUGCUGUGUGUACAUGUGCGUGUGUGUUCAUGUACACGUCAAUUGGUUUGCUUCCUUGUUUACUGUUUGUUUGUUUGUGCUCGCUUUGCAGACCCCUCCAAUUUUUUUAGCAUGGACACAUUUUCACACUGAAGUCAAAAUUCAUUCAGCUGCAGCUGGUGGGCAGCAAUUUGAUUUUUUAGGCAUUUUUUUCCACCCGAGAUAAACUCCACUGCUCAACCAAAAGAGGAAAAUUAUCUACGCAAAAAACCUCAACAGCAAGUCACUCAUUGUCAACAACACACACCAGUUCCUUUGCCCGUAAAAGGGAUAAUACAACUUUACUCCAAAGAAAAGACUGUAGAUGCAUUGAACCAUGUAAAGACCCACAGCACUGAAACUUUUAGGUCACAUUCUCUAAGCUUCAUUGUCUUCAGACCAUGAAUGUCUGUAAAAAUGUUAAGAAAUAGUUUUAUAAUAAUAGUAAUAAUUAUAAUAAUGGUUGUUUUUUCUUUUUAGAUAUUUCAGGUUAGCAGGCCAACUACGUCCAUACAGUCAUACAGCUGCUACCAGCACAAAGAACCUAAUAUAUAUAUAUUUAAAUUCUGCUUAUGUUGUUUCAUGAUUUGGGUGAGCUGACCCUUUAAGUAAAUCUAAAGGAAUUUGAGACCGCCCUCCAGACUGUCAGUUAUAAUCCCUCAAUGCAUAGGAAAACUUAACAGUAGGUCAAGACAAGUAUGAUAAGUCAGCCUUGGCCUAAAGUUACAUUUAUCUUUGAAUCAAAAGCAUAUUGAAAUAUCAAAUAUAUACACAAGCACAACAAUGUCAAGCAGAGGCAGUGUGUAUAUGAAUGUGUGAGUGUGUGAGGAAGAGCGAGAAUGGAUGAAGAAAGUGAGCCCCAUGCAGGUGUGGAGCGGGUUAAGUGCGCGAGUCAGUGUUAAGUGGGACAUCUCAGACAGACAGGCCAUCCAUGUCUGCCAGGAAGUGCACAUGAUCUACGGAACCCUGGACCCCAUCAACCCUCAACCGCAGUUCAUCCAUCUUUACCAGGCUGACGUAUCCCAGGCACCAUCGCUCGUCAUCCGCAACCUCUAGGGGACGCCACCAACUCCAUCUGCCGCCAAUAUCACCUUCAUCAUCCUGUUAAUACACACAUCAUGUUAAUAUACUCCAUCACGUUAAUAUACUCACUUUCAGCAAUCUUUCUGGGGUCCCUCCCGACCCUCAUCUCCAUCUGCAGCUCCCUCUCUUCACCAAGCGGGAUUCGAUACCACUUUGAAUAGGAAACGACCUGAGGCCGUGAACGAACCCACUACGCCACCCGACGUGCUGCAUUUCAGGGAACAUUUGGUGUACGUCAACCCGCACUUUGAAUGUUUUUAAAUUUGACUGCACAUUUAGCCAUCUAGAUAGAGAAGUAUAGUGUUCUCUCAGAUGCUUACUCUGUUUGCAUUAGAUAUGCGACAUGUGCAAGAAUCAAACUCACGUGCCCUGUUUUUCAUGCAGCCGUUUAACCAGGUGCGCUACUCUGCCCGAUUGUGUGAAUUGCCCACCCACUCUAUGAGUGUGUGCAUUGAUCUUGGGACUUGAAGUUUCUCUGACAGAUGCAAGAUUUAAACCCACAUGCUCAGAUCUUCAGUCCACCGCUUUACCAACUCAGCUACUCUCCCUGAAGUUUCAGUUUAAACAAUUCCUGUAUAUCUGUGCCCAACCCCACCUGCUUCUCAUCCAACGUCAGCAACAGGAUCCUAUGAAGCAGAUUAAGAGGAGAAAAGAGUGAGGAAGAAGGGAGGAUAACAGGUUACAGAGUUAAUCAAUGCAACAUCACUAGCAGGGUGCUCUGGACAACGCAUCCGCCACGACAUUGUCCUUCCCUCUAAUGUGACGUAUGUCCAGAGUAUAUGACUGCAAGAACAAGGACCAACAAACUCGCCUUGGAUUAGGACACUUGAAGGAGUUAAGGAAGGUCAGUGGGUUAUGGUCUGUAUAGACUAUCACAGCAGCAAGACCAGAAACAAAAUAGACAUCGAAAUGAUGUGAAGCCCAGACCAAAGCAAGGGCCUCCUUUUCAAUGACUAAAUAUUUCAAUUGUUGUGAAUUAACCUUUUUUGAAAGGAAGCUAAUAGGUUGAUCAAUGUUGAGUUCAGUGAGCGUCUGUCUUUCUUCCCCUUGUCCAUGUUAGUAUUAUUUAAGAUAGAACUAGAUAUUAGAUAGAAAGAAAAACAGAUGGAUUGCAGUUCAUUCCAUUUGUUCACAAAUAAAAGUUUAAUAUUUUGAGCAUGUGUUUUGUCUCAUUUCUUUUCUUUGA